UCUACAUUGAAUAGAUUUAGAGAUAAGUUCACAUUUUGUAUCUCAGUUAUAGUCAUUAGCGUAGAGUCACUUUUAUCUAAAUACGAGUAUGGAUCUCUAGGCAAAGACUAAAAAAUAACAGAGUUAAUCGAAUAUAUAUGAUUUAUCUUGUUGUACAUGAUUUAUCUAAUAUAUGUUCAGAAUUGAAACACAAUGGUUUAUCAAAAUCAAGAAACCCGGGUGCUGCCUUUCUGGUAAACAUGUAUUCAAGAUGCAUUGAAAUAAAAUGUGGCACGGUAAUAAGUUGUGUAAUUACAUUUGAAAACUGUGUACAAAAUUUGAUAUCUCUAUUUCAAAAAUUAAUGACUUUUUACUGACAUCAUGUCUGCCCAGAGAUCAUUAUUGUCAAUAAAAAGUCAAUGAUUACUAAAAUAGAGAUGUGUAAAUUUGCAUACAUGUUUUAAAAGCAAAUUUACAACUAAUUACCAUGAUACAUUUUAUUUUAAUGCAAUCUACAUAUAUGCUUACCUGAAAAGCCACACCCGGCUUUUUUCUUUUUUCUUCUGAGGUACUUCGACAGGUUCAGCUCACCGUACUCACCAAUAUAGUUGGAAUAGCAAAAACACCAUCAGAAGCGCAGCCAGGAAUAUGCGUCAAAAUUAGGAUUAUCUUUAUAGAUAAGUAUAUUAUCUAGCGUUUAUAAUUUAUUCAAUUACAAAUUUAAAUCUGUUUUAUAUUUAUUUGCAGCGGCAGCAGCAAAGUCAACAAUAAUAACAAGGAAGUGUGCCGAUUGUUCUCCUCGCCUCCAGGAGUCGUCCAAUUUUCAACUGCUUUAUUAUUAUUUAAUAUUGUUCGUUUAUUAAUAUUAUUAUUAUUCUUGUUAUCAUUAUAUUAGAUUGAUCAAAGCUCAAAAA